GACGAACGCUGGCGGCGUGCUUAACACAUGCAAGUCGAACGGAAAGGCCCUGCUUUUGUGGGGUGCUCGAUUGGCGAACGGGUGAGUAACACGUGAGUAACCUGCCCUUGACUUUGGGAUAACUUCAGGAAACUGGGGCUAAUACCGGAUAGGAGCUCCUGCUGCAUGGUGGGGGUUGGAAAGUUUCGGCGGUUGGGGAUGGACUCGCGGCUUAUCAGCUUGUUGGUGGGGUAGUGGCUUACCAAGGCUUUGACGGGUAGCCGGCCUGAGAGGGUGACCGGCCACAUUGGGACUGAGAUACGGCCCAGACUCCUACGGGAGGCAGCAGUGGGGAAUAUUGCACAAUGGGCGGAAGCCUGAUGCAGCAACGCCGCGUGCGGGAUGACGGCCUUCGGGUUGUAAACCGCUUUCGCCUGUGACGAAGCGUGAGUGACGGUAAUGGGUACAGAAGCCCACGCUAACUACGUG
rnacentral:rRNA from 1 species